AGCAGUCGCCACGGUAAUACGUAGGUGGCGAGCGUUGUCCGGAAUUAUUGGGCGUAAAGGGAGCGCAGGCGGACAUAUAAGUCCAUCUUAAAAGUGCGGGGCUCAACCCCGUGAGGGGAUGGAAACUGUAUGCCUUGAGUGCAGGAGAGGAAAGCGGAAUUCCCAGUGUAGCGGUGAAAUGCGUAGAUAUUAGGAAGAACACCGAUGGCGUAGGCAGGCGACUGGGAUAUUUCUGACGCUACGGCACGAAAGCGUGGGUAGCGAACCGGAUUAGAUACCCCCGUAGUCCCUGUCUCUUAUACA
rnacentral:rRNA from 1 species